AGAGUUUGAUCCUGGCUCAGAUUGAACGCUGGCGGCAGGCCUAACACAUGCAAGUCGAGCGGAAACGAGUUAUCUGAACCUUCGGGGAACGAUAACGGCGUCGAGCGGCGGACGGGUGAGUAAUGCCUAGGAAAUUGCCCUGAUGUGGGGGAUAACCAUUGGAAACGAUGGCUAAUACCGCAUGAUGCCUACGGGCCAAAGAGGGGGACCUUCGGGCCUCUCGCGUCAGGAUAUGCCUAGGUGGGAUUAGCUAGUUGGUGAGGUAAGGGCUCACCAAGGCGACGAUCCCUAGCUGGUCUGAGAGGAUGAUCAGCCACACUGGAACUGAGACACGGUCCAGACUCCUACGGGAGGCAGCAGUGGGGAAUAUCGCACAAUGGGCGCAAGCCUGAUGCAGCCAUGCCGCGUGUGUGAAGAAGGCCCUCGGGUUGUAAAGCACUUUCAGUCGUGAGGAAGGUAGUGUAGUUAAUAGCUGCAUUAUUUGACGUUAGCGACAGAAGAAGCACCGGCUAACUCCGUGCCAGCAGCCGCGGUAAUACGGAGGGUGCGAGCGUUAAUCGGAAUUACUGGGCGUAAAGCGCAUGCAGGUGGUUUGUUAAGUCAGAUGUGAAAGCCCGGGGCUCAACCUCGGAAUAGCAUUUGAAACUGGCAGACUAGAGUACUGUAGAGGGGGGUAGAAUUUCAGGUGUAGCGGUGAAAUGCGUAGAGAUCUGAAGGAAUACCGGUGGCGAAGGCGGCCCCCUGGACAGAUACUGACACUCAGAUGCGAAAGCGUGGGGAGCAAACAGGAUUAGAUACCCUGGUAGUCCACGCCGUAAACGAUGUCUACUUGGAGGUUGUGGCCUUGAGCCGUGGCUUUCGGAGCUAACGCGUUAAGUAGACCGCCUGGGGAGUACGGUCGCAAGAUUAAAACUCAAAUGAAUUGACGGGGGCCCGCACAAGCGGUGGAGCAUGUGGUUUAAUUCGAUGCAACGCGAAGAACCUUACCUACUCUUGACAUCCAGAGAACUUUCCAGAGAUGGAUUGGUGCCUUCGGGAACUCUGAGACAGGUGCUGCAUGGCUGUCGUCAGCUCGUGUUGUGAAAUGUUGGGUUAAGUCCCGCAACGAGCGCAACCCUUAUCCUUGUUUGCCAGCGAGUAAUGUCGGGAACUCCAGGGAGACUGCCGGUGAUAAACCGGAGGAAGGUGGGGACGACGUCAAGUCAUCAUGGCCCUUACGAGUAGGGCUACACACGUGCUACAAUGGCGCAUACAGAGGGCGGCCAACUUGCGAAAGUGAGCGAAUCCCAAAAAGUGCGUCGUAGUCCGGAUUGGAGUCUGCAACUCGACUCCAUGAAGUCGGAAUCGCUAGUAAUCGUGGAUCAGAAUGCCACGGUGAAUACGUUCCCGGGCCUUGUACACACCGCCCGUCACACCAUGGGAGUGGGCUGCAAAAGAAGUAGGUAGUUUAACCUUCGGGGGGACGCUUACCACUUUGUGGUUCAUGACUGGGGUGAAGUCGUAACAAGGUAGCC
rnacentral:rRNA from 1 species